GCGACCCCGAUUCUUCCGCUGGUUUUAAUUAUUUAUAAGAACAGAGAAGACGCGCUAGGAUCAUGGUCUAAGACACCAAGCCUAGGGGAGCCGUCGGGAUUGCUUCAAAGCGGUUAACAAGGGAAUGCAUCGAUUCAGUGGAAAUGCCCACACUUCAUCAGAAAAGCAAGUCACAAGGAAUCCUGGCCCACUAGGAAAAUCCUAACGGGCUCACCUGGAAGUGACCAAGUAGAAUGGCCCAAAGCGACAGAUUAGAAGGACGGUCUUUCCAGGAAUCUUACGUGACCCUCAGAGAUGUUACAGCCUGAUGGUUAAGUCCACGUGGCCAGGUUGACCUCGGCGUGGAGACUCAGAGCUGCCUCGCUGGAAGCUCCUGUUUCCUCCACCUUCUGUGUUGAAGCAACAAAGGCAGAGAGAGGCAAACUUCCAGGAACUUCUGGCAGAUCUCAAGCCAAACACAUCCAAUGUCUGGAUCUGUAAAUGGCUUCAUUUACCCCCUCCAACUCCUGCCUAGCUGUAGGCAAUGGAACCUCAUUCAGAGUGUAGGACUCGAUUAGGUAAGCCUGCUUUUCAGGAGGACCCAGGCUCCAUACCAAGGACCUGUAGGUUGACUUACAAACAUCCACAAUUCCAGUUUCAGGGAAUCUCUUCUGGCUUUCACGGGCACCAGGCAUGAACAUGGUGUACACACAUGCAUGCUGGGAAAACACUCACACAUGUAAACCAAGCAAAUAUUUUUAAAAUUAAAAAGAAAGAUCAUAUAAACUAAGGAGUGCAGAUCUCACUCAUAUGUAAGUCCUAGCAUUUAGUCUUUUAGGUGUGUGUGUGGCAAAUCUGGAAGGACUAUAGAAGCCAGGGAGUUAGAAAGGGACCCUGUAGUUGGGUUUUUUUUUUGUUUUGUUUUUACUUUUUUUGCUUUGCUCUUGGGAGGGGGCCACCACCCAGAUCCCCAAAUAAAUACACUGAGACGUAUUCUUACUUAUAAAUGCCCAGCCUUAGCCUGGCUUAUUUCUAGCCAGCAAGCCUUUCAUGUGGACACAGCAUUUGAGCUAAGCUUCUCGCGUGGAAGCAGCAAGUGCUCUAAUGGAUGAUGUGCUGUCUCCCGGGUUCCCGGUCUUACUUGGCUUCUGCUUGAUACAGCUCAGUGUCAGAGAGGAAGUCUCGAUGGGGAAAUCGCCUGUGGCUAUGUCUGUGAGGCAUUGUGUUGAUUGGUGGCUGAUGCGGUUAGGCCCAGCCUGCCGCCACCACCGGCAGUGCCAUCCCUAGGCAGGCAGGCCUGUGCCUUAGGAGAGAGUUAGCAGAGAAGAGAAGCCAGUAAGCAGCGUCCCCCCGGCUUCUGCCUCUCCUCCUGCUUCAAUUCCACCCUGGCUUCCCUCGCUGAUGGACUCUGACCGAAUGUGUAAACCAAAUGUAUUCGCUCCUCCCCAAGUUACUUCUGGUCUUGGAAUUUAUCACAGCAACAGAAAGCAAACUAGGACCCCGCCCUUCUCGUGUUUUCUUGUUCCCUAAAAAGGGAAAGAGGGGUUUAUAACCAAAACAAAAACUACAAAACUUCUUCAAAAUAACGUCAUAGUUCACUUUAGGUCACUACUGGGCGAUACGGGGGUGACAAUGAUGCAUUAUUUGCCAAUGCCCAAAGCUAAGAGGACUGAGAAGAAAUCCUACAAGACACCCCCAGCUUGCCUGUUCUCAUAACUUCCACAUCUCAUGACUCUCGUUCUGCUAAUGAUCGGGUAUUCCGAGGUGCGUCUCCAGACACCAGCUCCAACCCCCACAAUUGCAAG